GCCAGGCAUGGUGGUGCAUGCCUGUAAUCCCAGCUACUUGGGAGGCUGAGGCAGGAGAAUCGCUUGAACCCAGGAGGCUGAAGUUGCGGUGAGCCAAGACUGCACCAUUGCACUCCAGCUGGGUAACAGAGCAAGACCCUGUCUCAA
rnacentral:SRP_RNA from 1 species